rnacentral:sRNA from 1 species
AACUCUCGUGCUAAAAC